AGAUUAGCUUGAAUGUAAUGCUUAGUAGGAAAUUUUUGGAUUUAGCAUCUCUUGAUUUAAUACUCAAUAAAAUAAGCAGUGUUCUUGUAUAAAAAGAAAAAGAAAAUUUCGUAGAAAAAAAAAAAAAAAACAAACCCAAUUAAUUCGUUAGUAGGUGGCAGGCACACAAAAUCAAACAAACAAACCCAUAACAAACUUCCCACAAAAUCAAUCACCGUACUAGAAAUUCUCCAUUGAAGCGUACUCGAAAUUCUCCAUUAAAGCGUACUCGAAAUUCAUAUACUCAAUUUAGGGUGGUUUCGGUGGUGGUGCAGGGGGAGGGGGUGGCUGUCGGGGCUGGGCUGGGGGCUCUGGGUCUGGGGCCUGGGGAGUGGCUGUCGGGCUCAUGGGUUGGGUCAGACACUCAGGUUGUUGAUAUUCGGUGCGAUAAAGUCACGAUAUUCAGUGCAGAAAUAGAAAAACACAAUACCCAGCUUCAUGAGAUGUUAAGAGUUUUCUAUUAGCCAGCCACACGCAAUAGCAUGUAGCCACCAGCCUGGAAAGCUGCAGGCAUUUUCCAGCUCUAGCAGCAGGCAGCCGCAUGCAGCCGCAUGCAGCAGGCAGUAGACAGCAGAAUACCGCAGGCAGCAGCUUGUCGAUAUUGGAAUAAUAUCAUUCAAGCUUAAAUCUGCCCAAAGGAGCAUAUAUACAAACCAGGUGAUCUAACAGCCAGCCACCCGCAGCAGCAGGCAGCAGAAAGCCGACAGUCGCAGCAGCAGCAGGCAGCAGGAAGCCGACAGCCGCAGCAGCAGCUAGCAGCCAGCAGCAGGCAGCUGCUACCCACCACCAGCAGGUAGCUUAGUCAUUAGCCACUAGCAGCAGUUAGCACCGUGCAGCCAACAGCUAGCAGCCAGCAUCUAGCAGCCUCCAGCAGGCAGCAGUUAGCCGCCACCAGCAGGCAUUCGCCAUCUGCAGCAACAGCUAGCCGCUGGCAGCAAAUAAUCACCAGCCGCAGGCAGUCGCAAGCUACAGGCAGCAGCAGCAACUCAGGCUUGGAAUCAUUACGGGGUUUCAGAAACUGAUUUUGGUGCUGUACCCACGAGAGCGUCAGACUGGUAUAAACGACCAGUUAUUGUUUCUUUUUAGUUUUGGAGAAAAGCUCAUUUCAUAUCAUCUGAAAGUAGCAUGUGCAGGUGUUUCAGGAGGAUCUUCAGAGAUUCCAAAAGCAGUUUGUGCAUAGUUGAAUGACCCCUGCUUCCGGCUAGUAGCAGAAUUCUCAAGAAGUCUUAAGAACUAGCAAGCAACAUAGCAUAAUUUUGAGCUUUUGACAUAGCUACACGAGGUUAGUUAACGAGGUGGGGUAGCUCUCGCAGAGGCGCCUAAGGAAGAAAAGAAGCUAAAGGAGGGAAGUGACGAUGAGGAUAUGGGUUUCUCACUCUUUGACUUACAUCUUUUUAUUAGUAUGUCAGUAUGUUAUGAUGUGUUCCAAAGCAAUAUAAUUUUGUUUAGAUGUUUGGUAAUUAGUAUACUGGAUGAACUUUGUUAUGAGUUUUGUCGGGAACUGGUAAUGCAGUUCUUAGCAUAUUUUUCAAUAGUAUUGUCUGAAUUCUUUUGAUGAUUA